AUGUCCCAACCAGGAUGCAAUCUUGAUUUCCUAAUUUCAAAUCAAUCAUUUUGUAGGGGACUUCUGAUUGAUCUAGCUGCAACCGAACGAAGAUCCUUCGACGUCCAGACCUUGUCGCCUCCCGCGCUCGGUGUAUCUCUCUCGGACUUGUCUGGUUACCAUUGGAGCACCAUUACAGAGGACCUCCCUAUGGUAUAUGGUCGCCACAAGCAGAAUAUGAGAAAAAAUGAAUGGAAAUUUAGUACAUCUAACCCUCACAACAUGCUGCCUUCUUUCUCCCGUCAGACAAAGGCCACCGAACUCCGCCAUGCUCCCUUGAUCUCUCUCAUCUUUCCCACUCAGAUUCGUUUAGCCGCGGCAGGUGAAAGUAUCCAAGCAACAGAAGGCGGAAGGCGAGGGCAUACGGAAUGGAUCGUCUAUAAUCGAGUGGGGAGGCUUGAAGAUAUCCGAGUGGAGAGAAGAUGA
rnacentral:rRNA from 1 species